rnacentral:rRNA from 1 species
ACGCUCGACACCUACUGGAGGCAGCAGUGAGGAAUAUUGGUCAAUGGACGCAAGUCUGAACCAGCCAUGCCGCGUGCAGGAUGACGGCUCUAUGAGUUGUAAACUGCUUUUGUACGAGGGUAAACGCAGAUACGUGUAUCUGUCUGAAAGUAUCGUACGAAUAAGGAUCGGCUAACUCCGUGCCGACAGCCGCGGUAAUCUGAGCGGGCUGGCAAGGC